rnacentral:rRNA from 1 species
GAUGAACGCUGGCGGCGUGCUUAACACAUGCAAGUCGAACGAGAAUCAACGGAUUGAGGAUUCGUCCAAAUGAAGUUGAGGAAAGUGGCGGACGGGUGAGUAACACGUAAGCAACCUGCCUAUCAGAGGGGAACAACAGUUAGAAAUGACUGCUAAUACCGCAUAUGCCUUAAUUAUCACAUGAUAAUAGAGGGAAAGGAGCAAUCCGCUGAUAGAUGGGCUUGCGUCUGAUUAGAUAGUUGGUAAGGUAACGGCUUACCAAGUCGACGAUCAGUAGCCGGACUGAGAGGUUGAACGGCCACAUUGGGACUGAGAUACGGCCCAG